CUGCAGGGCUCAGCCUAGAGAGCUCAGACCUCACCCUACUUCUCCUCACCAGGAACCAAACCGUGAUGAGCUGAAAGCCCUCCUCUCCUCCUUGUUCCCGAAGCCUGAAGAACGCGUGUCACCUGCUAAUGGGACCCGGCAGGUGGAACUAGAUCACAGGUUGAAAUGAAGAUGUCAGACUGCAAAGCAGGGGACAGUAACCAGACCUGGCAGGUUUGGGAUAUGGGACUGCUUCCGUUUGUCUGCAACCGAUGACUACGAUUGUCUCGUGCUCUAGGAGGGGCGUGAAUCUUGCCAGCUGCAGAUAGUUUAAUUCUGGGGACUCUGGAGAAGGACUAAAUGUCAAAGUCUUGAGAGGGGUGGGAGGUGCUCCAAAAGGAGGAGAAGGAGGAGGAAGUGGUGGCGGAGGCUGCUGCUCCCUCAUGCUGCUCCUGGUUGCUGUUGUUGCGGUUUGAUGGGAAGAAGUUGGAAAUAGCCUAAAGAUAAAGACUGGACUGGCCCAAAGGAACUCUACACCCCUAACCAGCAGGAAGUGGCCUAUAGAAGUCUGUGGCCCCUUUUCCCUCUAGUCUCCUCUCUCUCCUGUCUAGUGUUGGGAGUUUGGAAGGGAGGUACAGAUGUAAGAACCGAGAAAAACAGUA
rnacentral:lncRNA from 1 species